AAAUAUUGGGACAUAUAAAAAAAGACAACUCUGUUCCGCAGAGUAGCUGUUGACAUUAUAGUUGCGCAGGCACUUUGUUGACUCUAGAGAACCUCGGGCCAAUCGCACAUCCCCGUGGCGGCGACUUUGCAUUUGGAUGUCAUCCAUAUAAACUUUCGAUGCAGUUUCUGUGCCUACCAUGGUGACCACGGGUAACAGGGAAUCAGGGUUCCAUUCCAUCCAGGGACCCUGAGAAACGGCUACCACAUGCAAGGAAGGCAGCAGGCGCGCAAAUGACCCACUCCCGACGCGGGAAGGUAUUGAU